CCUACGGGAGGCAGCAGUGGGGAAUCUUGCGCAAUGAGCGAAAGCUUGACGCAGCAACGCCGCGUGGGGGAAGAAUGCCUUCGGGUUGUAAACCCCUUUCAGGAGGAACGAAGGAUCGGCCGUUAAUAGCGGUCCGGUUUGACGGUACCUUCAGAAGAAGCCCCGGCUAACUACGUGCCAGCAGCCGCGGUAAUACGUAGGGGGCAAGCGUUGUCCGGAAUCAUUGGGCGUAAAGCGCGCGUAGGCGGUUCGAUAAGUCUGCUGUGAAAGUCAAAGGCUCAACCUUUGAAAGCCGGUGGAAACUGUCGAGCUAGAGUCCGGAAGAGGCGAGUGGAAUUCCUGGUGUAGCGGUGGAAUGCGCAGAUAUCAGGAAGAACACCAACGGCGAAGGCAGCUCGCUGGGACGGUACUGACGCUAAGGCGCGAAAGCGUGGGGAGCAAACAGGAUUAGAUACCCUUGUAGUC
rnacentral:rRNA from 1 species